GGGCACAAAAACCCAAGAAAGCCCACUAUCUCCUGCUAACGUUUUAUUAUAGUCACUGCCUGACAAUCAUUUUUGUCAAAGAGCCACAUUCUGUAAACACUUUUCAGUGGUCUCUGCUGCCUUACUUUGCUCCUGUGGCGGAGCAUGAAGUGAAACAGCAAUGCAGGAGCAUUACCACAGUUGCUUUCUCUUCUCGGACAAUAGCCAGGCUUCUUUGGAAGGACCUCCGUGUUGGCAGGCUGCUUUUCAUUACAACAAGGAAGCCAGUUUUGGAUAUCACAUGCAGCUGAAAAAUUGGAAAGACAUGGGAGAUAAUGCAGUUAUUAGCAUUGUUCUUAUCCUGGAGUGUAGGAAGAAGAUGAUCAUUAUGGAAAGACAGAUGUGGCACCACAAGUUCAGCUCUGCUGCCCAGCCACCUUCUUCAAGGCUUUGGGAUACCUUUAACUCACAGGCAGAUAUUAAGCAAAAAGUACUUCAGCCUGAGUUGCUGAUUAACCAAAUACAACUUGAGAAGUUAAAGACAUAAUCUAAGAAGAAGAUCACAGCUGGAACAUUUUGAGACUCAUAUUGAGAAUAUGACCCUAAAGCUGCCAGUUGACUCCUCCCACCCAGCACAGUCCCAGUGCUCUGCAGAUUUACAGAGGCUAUCACUGCAAGCUUACACUGUUGAUUAGUAGGGACAAUUUAGGCUGAUAAUCUUACUUCAUUGCAUUCAUAAGGAUUGAGUCAUGGGGGUCUUGUCAUUUGCUUUUCAUUUCCAAGAACCUGAGAAAUUUUACCACAUUCAGCGACUUAAUAGAUUAUGUGGCUCAGAACGACAUUCCACAACAGCAGAGCACCCUGGAGAUACACUCACUUGUCAUAAUAUAUAAAGCUUCUUCCAAAUCCAUUGUGCGUGGCUUUACACUGUUCACUGCAGACCUUGAAGGAAGAAAAGACUCUUUCCUUGUCUCAUUGCUCCCAUGAUGACAUUUGAAAGUCAGUAAAUUAAAUACUGGAAAGGAGUCUCGGAGUUCUGUUAUAUAUUUGUUUUUCUCUAAGAAACAGACUGGAAAAUGGCUUCACAGAAAGUUACUUCAGAGCAGAAUUAUGAAUGCUAUUUACAGAAUACCCUAGGCAUUAAUAUUUGACUUGUACAGGUAUGCUUGCUAAAAAAGAAAGGUACACAUCUCUUGUACAGUGUUAAUCAAUACAGCAUCCCAAGAUAUGAAGUUGCAGAGUCAGACACCUGUGCAAAAAUAAAGAGAAGCUCAGCUACCAAGUUCAACUGCAAUGAGAAACAGAUCCCUGACAACCUGGCUGACCAGCUCUUGCGCCUCUGCAUCG
rnacentral:lncRNA from 1 species